GAUGAACGCUGGCGGCGUGCCUAAUACAUGCAAGUAGAACGCUGAAGCUUGGUGCUUGCACCGAGCGGAUGAGUUGCGAACGGGUGAGUAACGCGUAGGUAACCUGCCUCUUAGCGGGGGAUAACUAUUGGAAACGAUAGCUAAUACCGCAUAAAAGUCGAUAUCGCAUGAUAUUGAUUUGAAAGGUGCAAAUGCAUCACUAAGAGAUGGACCUGCGUUGUAUUAGUUAGUUGGUGAGGUAACGGCGCACCAAGGCGUCGAUACAUAGCCGACCUGAGCGGGUGGUCGGCCACACUGGGACUGGGACACGGCCCAGGCUCCUACGGGGGGCAGCAAUAGGGAAUCUUCGGCAAUGGGGGGAAACCUGGCCGAGCAACGCCGGGUGGGUGAAGAAAGUUUUCGGAUCGGAAAGCUCUGUUGUAAGGGAAGAACGAGUGUGAGAGUGGAAAGUUCACGCUGUGACGGUAACUUACCAGAAAGGGACGGCUAACUACGUG
rnacentral:rRNA from 1 species